UAGCGAGGGGCUAGCGUUGUUCGGAAUCACUGGGCGUAAAGCGCACGUAGGCGGCUUUGUAAGUUAGAGGUGAAAGCCCGGGGCUCAACCCCGGAAUUGCCUUUAAGACUGCAUCGCUUGAAUCCAGGAGAGGUGAGUGGAAUUCCGAGUGUAGAGGUGAAAUUCGUAGAUAUUCGGAAGAACACCAGUGGCGAAGGCGGCUCACUGGACUGGUAUU
rnacentral:rRNA from 1 species